UACCAGCUCUCCGAGUGGUAGGGAUGUUUAUUGGGCUUAAAGCGUCCAUAGCCGGCUUAGCAAGUCUCCUGUUAAAUUCAGCGACCUAAUCGUUGAGCCGCGGGAGAUACUACUAGGCUAGGAGGCGGGAGAGGUCAACGGUACUUCCGGGGUAGGGGUGAAAUCCUAUAAUCCCGGGAGGACCACCAGUGGCGAAGGCUGUUGACUAGAACGCGCUCGACGGUGAGGGACGAAAGCUGGGGGGAGCGAACCGGAUUAGAUACCCGGGUAGUCCCAGCUGUAAACGAUGCGAGCUAGGUGUUGGGGUGGCUACGUGCCACUUCAGUGCCGCAGGGAAGCCAUUAAGCCCGCCGCCUGGGGAGUACGGCCGCAAGGCUGAAACUUAAGGAAUUGGCGGGGAGCACCACAAGGGGUGAAGCUUGCGGUUU
rnacentral:rRNA from 1 species